GUUGUCGUGGCCGAGUGGUUAAGGUGAUGGACUUGAAAUCCAUUGGGGUUUCCCCGCGCAGGUUCAAAUCUUGCCGAUAACG
rnacentral:tRNA from 1 species